CGCCAGACUCCUACGGGAGGCAGCAGUAGGGAAUCUUUCACAAUGGGCGAAAGCCUGAUGGAGCAACGCCGCGUGCAGGAUGAAGGCCUUCGGGUUGUAAACUGCUUUUAUAAGCGAGAAAUAUGAUGGUAACUUAUGAAUAAGGAUCGGCUAACUACGUGCCAGCAGCCGCGGUCAUACGUAGGGGGCAAGCGUUAUCCGGAAUCACUGGGUGUAAAGGGAGCGUAGACGGCAGGGCAAGUCUGAUGUGAAAGUCCGGGGCUCAACCCCGGGACUGCAUUGGAAACUGUCCGGCUAGAGUGCAGGAGAGGUAAGUGGAAUUCCUAGUGUAGCGGUGAAAUGCGUAGAUAUUAGGAGGAACACCAGUGGCGAAGGCGGCUUACUGGACUGUAACUGACGUUGAGGCUCGAAAGCGUGGGGAGCAAACAGGAUUAGAUACCCGCGUAA
rnacentral:rRNA from 1 species